UGGGGAAUAUUGCACAAUGGGCGCAAGCCUGAUGCAGCCAUGCCGCGUGUGUGAAGAAGGCCUUCGGGUUGUAAAGCACUUUCAGCGGGGAGGAAGGCGUUAAGGUUGAUAACCUUGGCGAUUGACGUUACCCGCAGAAGAAGCACCGGCUAACUCCGUGCCAGCAGCCGCGGUAAUACGGAGGGUGCAAGCGUUAAUCGGAAUUACUGGGCGUAAAGCGCACGCAGGCGGUCUGUCAAGUCGGAUGUGAAAUCCCCGGGCUCAACCUGGGAACUGCAUUCGAAACUGGCAGGCUAGAGUCUUGUAGAGGGGGGUAGAAUUCCAGGUGUAGCGGUGAAAUGCGUAGAGAUCUGGAGGAAUACCGGUGGCGAAGGCGGCCCCCUGGACAAAGACUGACGCUCAGGUGCGAAAGCGUGGGGAGCAAACAGG
rnacentral:rRNA from 1 species